GAUGAACGCUGGCGGCGUGCCUAAUACAUGCAAGUCGAGCGAACAGAUGAGGAUCUUGCUCCUCUGACGUUAGCGGCGGACGGGUGAGUAACACGUGGAUAACCUACCUAUAAGACUGGUAUAACUUCGGGAAACCGGAGCUAAUACCGGAUAAUAUAUUGAACCGCAUGGUUCAAUAGUGAAUGACGGUUUUGCUGUCACUUAUAGAUGUAUACGCGCCGCAUUAGCUAGUUGGUACGGUAACGGCUUACCAAGGCAACGAUGCGUAGCCGACCUGAGAGGGUGAUCGGCCACACGGGAACUGAGACACGGUCCAGACUCCUACGGGAGGCAGCAGUAGGGAAUCUUACGCAAUGGGCGAAAGCCUGACGGAGCAACGCCGCGUGAGUGAUGAAGGUCUUCGGAUCGUAAAACUCUGUUAUUAGGGAAGAACAAAUGUGUAAGUAACUAUGCACGGCUUGACGGUACCUAAUCAGAAAGCCACGGCUAACUACGUG
rnacentral:rRNA from 1 species